rnacentral:rRNA from 1 species
GACGAACGCUGGCGGCGUGCUUAACACAUGCAAGUCGAACGGAAAGGCCCUGCUUUUGUGGGGUGCUCGAGUGGCGAACGGGUGAGUAACACGUGAGUAACCUGCCCUUGACUUUAGGAUAACUUCAGGAAACUGGGUAUAAUACCGGAUAGUAACUCCUACUGCUUGGUGUGGGUUGGAACGUUUCGGCGGUUGGGGAUGGACUCGCGGCUGAUCGUCGUGUUGGUGGGGUAGCAGCUUACCAAGGCUUUGACGGGUAGCUGGCCUGAGAGGGUGACCGGCAAACUUGCGACUGAGCUACGGCCCAGACUCGUACGGGAGGCAGCAGUGGGGAAUAUUGCACAAUGGGGGGAAGCCUGAUGCAGCAACGCCGCGUGAGGGAUGACGGCCUUCGGGUUGUAAACCGCUUUCGCAUGUGACGAAGCGUGAGUGACGGUAAUGGGUAAAGAAGCACCGGCUAACUACGUG